GACGCCGACCCUCGCUUCCACCAGAUAAAGCAACGUCUCUCUCUCUCUCAGAGACAGCCACAGAUGUUAAAUGGAUACGCAUUUAUUCACAGAGAAAGAGAGAGAGAGAGAGAGAGAGAGAGAGAUAGAGAGAGAGGAGGGAGAGGAGAGAGAAAGAUAAGAGGGUUUCUCGUCUCAUCCUGGAUGUUAUGGGCGAGAGUUGGUUUCUCUUUCUUUCCCAGGGUUUUGCUUCAUUUUUUGACAGUCGACAUGUCGCAUAUGUCUGCAUUUGCACCUGCACUGCACCAAGGAAUUCUCUGCGUCCGUCCCCAAAAAGACCUGUUACAGAGAAGGAGAUCGAUCGGUGUCGGUGCAGGUGCAGGUCCAGACAAAUGCCAUCUUGCCUCGCAUCUCUCUCUCUCUGUCCCUCUCUGGUUUUCAGAGAUGGGAGAGACAUGAGCUAAUUAACAAUGUAUUUAUCUAGUGACUUUCCAGCUGCAGGCAGCUAGAUGAACAUGAACCCUCUAUUAUUUCUUGAGGUGAUGCAGGAUCUCCCCAUGUCUGCUUCUCUUUGCGUGUUGUGUGUGUGCUCGGGAAAGGCGGUGGGAGAUUAAAACGUGUUCAGAAGCUCCAUUUUUGUCUCACCCGAGGUUUCUUUGGUACCUACCAUGAAGGCUCCAUUUUGGUCAAGCUUGAGCUCCAUUUGAUUGACGAGAAAGACAAGUUGAGAAUUUGGUAUGGGAUUUUUGAGGGGAAAAGAACCAAAAUGGGAGAAAUGAGAACAUCUUUGUCUUUCUACUUUUCCUGUGGAAUGCUAAUGAAGGUUGGGGGUGGAAUAUACAGUUACCCUUUUUUCUGUAUACUAAAGUGGGUUGAGUUCAGUUGAUUUUGAGAUCCGAAGUUGCAUAGAUUAAUUGUGCUCACCCCAGGUGCUGAGUUGUUGAUAGGAAUCCAUGCAGAGUCUGUAGAGCUGCAAGGCUAGUGCGUAAGGCGAUUUAGAUCCAGAAGACAAGGAUGAACAGGAAAUUGAGAAAAUCUAAUUAGCAUAUGAAUCUGAAAGAUGGUGGAAGCUGGAAAUACAGUUAGAUAUUUAGAUUCUCAUGAGAUAUAACCUUGAUUGAACCAUUUCAGCGAUGGAAAGUUUCAAUUAAAUGGAUGAGUAGUGUCUAGUCUAUGCAGGCUGUGGGCCUAUGUAUUUUAUGACUGAUGUAGAAUGUUAUAAUUGGUUCUUCAGCCUGCUGAACAGCUAUUGCAUUCAGUUAAUCCAAUCUCCCAUUACAGUCUACGCUGCAUAGGUGAAAUGCCAACUUGCCAUGAUGAAUAUCUCAGAGCAGUGUGGAUUAAAUUCUAGCAAUACUUGUACAUCUUGAGACAAAAAUUCAACUUGGCUAGAUCAAAUAAUUAAGCUAGAAAUUUCUUGCAGCUCAACAACCGGUAUUCUUUAUUCAGUAAGUGCCUUCGCACAUACAUUAUUGUUUUCAGG